rfam:Danio rerio chromosome 12, GRCz11 reference primary assembly.
UCCAGCAGGAGACGUCUAUCACCCUGCAGCCCAAGACCAGUUAAUCACUGAAGCUAAGCAGGGCUGAGCCUGGUCAGUACCUGGAUGGGAGGCCACUAGGGAACACUAGGUUGCUGUUGGAA